rnacentral:rRNA from 1 species
AGUCAUUCUGCCCAUUGAUUUUUAAAGGCUGCAGUAUAUUAACUGUACAAAGGUAGCAUAAUAAAUAGUUUUUUAAUUGAAAACUUGAAUGAAAGAAUUAAUAAAAUAUAAAUUGUCUCAAUUAUUGAAAUUAAAUAAAAAGUUAAAAUGCUUUUAUUUUAAUAUUAGACGAUAAGACCCUAAGAAUUUAAUUUUUUUAUUUAAUUUUAAAUUUUUAAUUAAAUAAAAAAAAUUUAUUGGGAGGAUAAUUAAAUAUAACUUUAAUUUUAAUUAAUAUUUAUAAUUAAAAUUAAUGAUUAUUAUUAUAAUUAUAAGAAAUAAUUACCUUAGGGAUAACAGCGUAAUAAUUUUGGAGAGUUCAUAUUGAUAAAAUUGUUUGCGACCUCGAUGUUGAAUUAAAAUAAAAUUUAAAUGGAGAUAUUUAAGUUUUUAGUC